UACGGAGGGGGCGAGCGUUAUUCGGAAUUAUUGGGCGUAAAGGGCGCGUAGGCGGCUUGGCAAGUCAAAGGUGAAAUCCCUCGGCUCAACUGAGGAACUGCCUUUGAAACUGUCAAGCUUGAGGCCGGGAGGGGGUAGCGGAAUUCCCAGUGUAGCGGUGAAAUGCGUAGAUAUUGGGAGGAACACCAGUGGCGAAGGCGGCUACCUGGACCGGUACUGACGCUGAUGCGCGAAAGCGUGGGUAGCAAACAGG
rnacentral:rRNA from 1 species